rnacentral:rRNA from 1 species
GACUGUGCUAAGGUAGCAUAAUAAUUUGCCUUUUAAUUGGAGGCUGGAAUGAAGGGGUUAACUUGAGUUAAUCUGUCUCUUUUUAGUCAUAAAAACUUGAGUUUUAAGUGAAAACGCUUAAAUAAUUUAGAGGGACGAGAAGACCCUUCAGAUCUUUCCCAAAUGUGUGAGAGUUUAAAUUUUACCUUUAGGGUUACCUGGGAGGGGGUUUGAAUAUAAACUUCAUAUAAAUUAAGACAAAUAGUUAUUGUCGAACCUUGUAGAUCCUGAUUGGAAAGGUUGAAAAAGAUACCUGAGGGAUAACAGCGUGA